UCAGCUCCUGGAUGACUACAAGAAAGGGAACCUCCACAUCAUUCCAGAAACUCCUCUGGCUGAGGAGAGAUCAGGAGAUGACAGUGAUGUGUUGAUAGACCCAGGAGAUGAACAUAUGCCUGAGAAGAAGAACUAGUGUGGAACUGUCAGCCAGGUUUUUGAUGAGUGCUCAGACUGCUUCCUGAUCCGGCACCACAUUUACUAUAGUGGACAGAUGCUCUAGUCUCUGAUGAGGAGUUGCUAGCUGUUAGGAAAAACCUGGAAUGGGCUCCACUGCAUGAGGUUUGAAGUCUCCAGAGCAGCAAAGAGAGUGGGGAGUAGAAC
rnacentral:lncRNA from 1 species